rnacentral:sRNA from 2 species
UGAGUUGGCCGCUAGGGUUCCGGCGCGAAAGCGUGACUGGUCCGAGAGCAGCCACCGGCGGGGGAGACAUCCCUGUCGGGUGCACGGCGGGAUAAAAGCCCGGGAGAC